CUAAUAACGGAAAUCUAUACUGUCCAUGUUCAAUAAUAUAGGACUAACAACAACUUAUUACAUUGUUAAGCGAUCUUGCUCUUUUGCACUUUACACACACUGAUUUCCAGGUGCGCGGAUCGACACAUUUGAACGUUUUGGAUAGUGCAUGUUUGUAGUAGAGUUUAAGCCCAGGUCACACUACACAACGAUAACGAUAACUUGUAUACGCACGCUGAUUGGUCAAAAAUUUAUCGUUAUCGUCCGACUGAAAAAAAAAUCGCUCAGGUGAGCGAUUUUAAAAUCGUUAUCGUUAUCGUCUAACGAUAAUUUUAUCAUUUUCAUUGUUGUGUGGACACUAACACAAUUUUUUUGCCAAUUAUCGCGUGUUUACAAUUUAUCGUAUCGUUAUCGUUGUGUAGUGUGACCGGG